rnacentral:rRNA from 1 species
AUCGAACGCUGGCGGCGUGCCUAAUACAUGCAAGUCGAGCGGAAGUUGGAGAGCUUGCUCUUCAACUUUAGCGGCGGACGGGUGAGUAACACGUGGGCAACCUGCCCUGCAGAUCGGGAUAACUCCGGGAAACCGGUGCUAAUACCGAAUAGUUUUCGCCACCUCCUGGUGGCGUACGGAAAGACGGUUUCGGCUGUCACUGCAGGAUGGGCCCGCGGCGCAUUAGCUAGUUGGUGGGGUAACGGCCCACCAAGGCGACGAUGCGUAGCCGACCUGUGAGGGUGAUCGGCCACACGGGGACUGAGACACGGCCCAGACUCCUACGGGAGGCAGCAGGAGGGAAUCUUCCGCAAUGGACGAAAGUCUGACGGAGCAACGCCGCGUGAGUGACGAAGGUUUUCGGAUCGUAAAACUCUGUUGUGAGGGAGGAGCAAGUGCCGCAGGCAAUGGCGGCACCUUGACGGUACCUUGCGAGAAAGCCACGGCUAACUACGUGCCAGCAGCCGCCGUAACAC